rnacentral:rRNA from 1 species
AGAGUUUGAUUAUGGCUCAGAACGAACGCUGGCGGCGCGUUUUAAGCAUGCAAGUCGAGCGGCAAGGGUCUUCGGGCCCCUAGAGCGGCGGACGGGUGAGUAACACGUGGACAAUCUGCCCCCCGGCCGGGGAUAGCCCAGGGAAACCUGGAUUAAUAUCGGAUGAGACGGGACCCGCGGAGGCGGGAUCCGGGAAAGGCGCUGCGGCGCCGCCGGGGGAUGAGUCUGCGUCCCAUUAGCUUGACGGCGGGGUAACGGCCCACCGUGGCGACGAUGGGUAGCCGGCCUGAGAGGGUGGACGGCCACAUUGGAACUGAGACACGGUCCAGACUCCUACGGGAGGCAGCAGCUAAGAAUCUUCCGCAAUGGGCGAAAGCCUGACGGAGCGACGCCGCGUGAACGAAGAAGGCCGUGAGGUUGUAAAGUUCUUUUCGGGAGGGGGAACAACCGUGGCAGGGAAUGGCCGCGGGAUGACGUGAAUCCCGGAAUAAGCCCCGGCUAACUACGUGCCAGCAGCCGCGGUAACACGUAGGGGGCGAGCGUUGUUCGGAAUCAUUGGGCGUAAAGGGCGUGCAGGCGGUCCUGCAAGUCCGGCGUGAAUGACCCCGGCCCAACCGGGGGGGCGCGCUGGAAACUGCAGGGCUUGAGUACAGGAGGGGAUGCCGGAAUUCCAGGUGUAGGGGUGAAAUCUGUAGAUAUCUGGAGGAACACCAAUGGCGAAGGCAGGCAUCUGGCCUUGUACUGACGCUGAGACGCGAAGGUGCGGGGAGCAAACAGGAUUAGAUACCCUGGUAGUC